GGGCGCACGGUGGAUGCCUUGACACUAGGAGUCGAUGAAGGACGGGACUAACGCCGAUAUGCUUCGGGGAGCUGUAAGUAAGCUUUGAUCCGAAGAUUUCCGAAUGGGGAAACCCACCAUACGUAAUGGUAUGGUAUCCUUAUCUGAAUACAUAGGGUAAGGAAGACAGACCCAGGGAACUGAAACAUCUAAGUACCUGGAGGAAGAGAAAGCAAAUGCGAUUUCCUGAGUAGCGGCGAGCGAAACGGAACAUAGCCCAAACCAAGAGGCUUGCCUCUUGGGGUUGUAGGACAUUCUAUACGGAGUUACAAAGGAACGAGGUAGACGAAGCGACCUGGAAAGGUCCGUCGUAGAGGGUAACAACCCCGUAGUCGAAACUUCGUUCUCUCUUGAAUGUAUCCUGAGUACGGCGGAACACGUGAAAUUCCGUCGGAAUCUGGGAGGACCAUCUCCCAAGGCUAAAUACUCCCUAGUGAUCGAUAGUGAACCAGUACCGUGAGGGAAAGGUGAAAAGCACCCCGGAAGGGGAGUGAAAGAGAUCCUGAAACCGUGUGCCUACAAAUAGUCAGAGCCCGUUAACGGGUGAUGGCGUGCCUUUUGUAGAAUGAACCGGCGAGUUACGAUCCCGUGCGAGGUUAAGCUGAAGAGGCGGAGCCGCAGCGAAAGCGAGUCUGAAUAGGGCGUUUAGUACGUGGUCGUAGACCCGAAACCAGGUGAUCUACCCAUGUCCAGGGUGAAGUUCAGGUAACACUGAAUGGAGGCCCGAACCCACGCACGUUGAAAAGUGCGGGGAUGAGGUGUGGGUAGCGGAGAAAUUCCAAUCGAACCUGGAGAUAGCUGGUUCUCCCCGAAAUAGCUUUAGGGCUAGCCUUAAGUGUAAGAGUCUUGGAGGUAGAGCACUGAUUGGACUAGGGGUCCUCAUCGGAUUACCGAAUUCAGUCAAACUCCGAAUGCCAAUGACUUAUCCUUAGGAGUCAGACUGCGAGUGAUAAGAUCCGUAGUCAAAAGGGAAACAGCCCAGACCGCCAGCUAAGGUCCCAAAGUGUGUAUUAAGUGGAAAAGGAUGUGGAGUUGCUUAGACAACUAGGAUGUUGGCUUAGAAGCAGCCACCAUUUAAAGAGUGCGUAAUAGCUCACUAGUCGAGUGACUCUGCGCCGAAAAUGUACCGGGGCUAAAUACACCACCGAAGCUGCGGAUUGAUACCAAUGGUAUCAGUGGUAGGGGAGCGUUCUAAGGACAGUGAAGUCAGACCGGAAGGACUGGUGGAGUGCUUAGAAGUGAGAAUGCCGGUAUGAGUAGCGAAAGACGGGUGAGAAUCCCGUCCACCGAAUGCCUAAGGUUUCCUGAGGAAGGCUCGUCCGCUCAGGGUUAGUCAGGACCUAAGCCGAGGCCGACAGGCGUAGGCGAUGGACAACAGGUUGAUAUUCCUGUACCACCUCUUUAUCGUUUGAGCAAUGGAGGGACGCAGAAGGAUAGAAGAAGCGUGCGAUUGGUUGUGCACGUCCAAGCAGUUAGGCUGAUAAGUAGGCAAAUCCGCUUAUCGUAAAGGCUGAGCUGUGAUGGGGAAGCUCCUUAUGGAGCGAAGUCUUUGAUUCCCCGCUGCCAAGAAAAGCUUCUAGCGAGAUAAAAGGUGCCUGUACCGCAAACCGACACAGGUAGGCGAGGAGAGAAUCCUAAGGUGUGCGAGAGAACUCUGGUUAAGGAACUCGGCAAAAUGACCCCGUAACUUCGGGAGAAGGGGUGCUUUCUUAACGGAAAGCCGCAGUGAAUAGGCCCAAGCGACUGUUUAGCAAAAACACAGCUCUCUGCGAAGCCGUAAGGCGAAGUAUAGGGGGUGACACCUGCCCGGUGCUGGAAGGUUAAGGAGAGGGGUUAGCGUAAGCGAAGCUCUGAACUGAAGCCCCAGUAAACGGCGGCCGUAACUAUAACGGUCCUAAGGUAGCGAAAUUCCUUGUCGGGUAAGUUCCGACCCGCACGAAAGGUGUAACGAUUUGGGCACUGUCUCAACCAGAGACUCGGUGAAAUUAUAGUACCUGUGAAGAUGCAGGUUACCCGCGACAGGACGGAAAGACCCCGUGGAGCUUUACUGUAGCCUGAUAUUGAAUUUUGGUACAGUUUGUACAGGAUAGGCGGGAGCCUUUGAAACCGGAGCGCUAGCUUCGGUGGAGGCGCUGGUGGGAUACCGCCCUGACUGUAUUGAAAUUCUAACCUACGGGUCUUAUCGACCCGGGAGACAGUGUCAGGUGGGCAGUUUGACUGGGGCGGUCGCCUCCUAAAGUGUAACGGAGGCGCCCAAAGGUUCCCUCAGAAUGGUUGGAAAUCAUUCGUAGAGUGCAAAGGCAUAAGGGAGCUUGACUGCGAGACCUACAAGUCGAGCAGGGACGAAAGUCGGGCUUAGUGAUCCGGUGGUUCCGCAUGGAAGGGCCAUCGCUCAACGGAUAAAAGCUACCCCGGGGAUAACAGGCUUAUCUCCCCCAAGAGUCCACAUCGACGGGGAGGUUUGGCACCUCGAUGUCGGCUCAUCGCAUCCUGGGGCUGUAGUCGGUCCCAAGGGUUGGGCUGUUCGCCCAUUAAAGCGGUACGCGAGCUGGGUUCAGAACGUCGUGAGACAGUUCGGUCCCUAUCCGUCGUGGGCGUAGGAAAUUUGAGAGGAGCUGUCCUUAGUACGAGAGGACCGGGAUGGACGCACCGCUGGUGUACCAGUUGUUCUGCCAAGGGCAUAGCUGGGUAGCUAUGUGCGGAAGGGAUAAGUGCUGAAAGCAUCUAAGCAUGAAGCCCCCCUCAAGAUGAGAUUUCCCAUAGCGUAAGCUAGUAAGAUCCCUGAAAGAUGAUCAGGUUGAUAGGUUCGAGGUGGAAGCAUGGUGACAUGUGGAGCUGACGAAUACUAAUAGAUCGAGGACUUAACCAU
rnacentral:rRNA from 4 species